GGCAAAGAAAAAUUAUCAAUAUUUUCUCUAGGGAAAGAAUAAAAAUUGUUUCAAUCGACCAAUAAGAAUUAGGAUUUCAUUUUUGGCCCCAAUUUAGCAUUGUCACCGUCGUCGCCUUUGUCACCAACACCGAAGCUGUCACCACUAACGCCACGGUCCCUCUCUCUUCUCAAUAAGCCUAGUCAUCACUGAGCAUCAAACAGUACCCUCCAAUUCCAUUCCUUUUUGUUUUAGACCUCAAUCGCCGUUGAGCUGCUCCUUGAUUUUUCUUUAAUCAGAAUAAUUCACUGAAAAGGCAAGUUAUUCUAUGAAGAAAUUCGAUUUGAAGAAAUGGAUAAACUCGGCGUGCAAGACUCGGCACCCUCAGGAUUCCCUCGACAAGCACAUGGUGGAUCUCGAAAUGAAGCUCCAAAUGGUCUCCGAAGAGAUCGCCACUUCGCUAGAGGAGCAAAGCGUUGCCGCCCUCCUCCAUGUUCCUCGCGCCAUCGUGACGUCCUCCAACUUCACGACGACGCCAUUUCUCUCCGCAAUUCUGUUGUCGGCAUCCUUGACAAGUUCAAGAAGAAUCCUUUGUGGCUUCAAUAUCAGAGAAUUAAAGAGGCAUGCCAGCAAGCUAAAGCUUACAAGCUGUAAAGUGCUAAGCAAUAUCCUAGUAAACAACUGCUCCACGAGAAUCUUGGCUUUUCAAUUAAUGCAAAUGUGGGUAAUGGUGAGAUGAUUACUUUUGGCUAUUCGCACAUGCCACGAUUUAUCACGUACAGAGUUAUUUAAAAAGAUGGUUUCAUACACAACCCAGUACCAAUAACAAUAUCAUAACCGAUCAUGAUGCAUGACUUUGCAAUUAUUGAGAAUUAUGCAAUUUUCUUGGAUCUUCCUUUGUAUUUCAUACGAAAGUGAAAAAUUGGCAGGACAAUGUAAUUCAGAGCCUCCAACUAGACUGCUGAGAUAUUUAUCUAAAUACACUUGGAUGCAGUUGAGGGCCGAAAAAAAAAAAAGUUUAGAUUCGAUGUUCUGAUGGAAUUCAAACUGGCUGCUAGAGUAUUUUAGGGUUCGAAAGUCAAAUAGAUUUUGCUCUUUUUAGUCUGACUUAGCAAUUUGGUUAAGGCAAUAUUCAAAGCCUAGCUGAGUGGGCUGACCUAACUUAUUGGAGUUCACAUCAGCUCGGCUUGAUUAUUUACCCUCGCGAAGACACAUGAACAGGCAAAUAUGUCACUGUGCGAUUGAAUUGUCACAUGUCAAGUCAAGUCGGGUCGAACUCGUCAGCCCCAUGCUCUUGGACAAAAUUCUGAUUAAAUUAAUCCGGAACCUAUUCUGACACAGGUAUCUACAAUCUCUCUCCAUUCAAGUACUAUUCAUUAAAUUCUUUAUUUUUUUUUUCCAUAUUCUUCAUUUUUAAGCAUUAACCUGAGUAUCCAAGUACAAAGAGACACCGCCGACCUUUAUUAUUAACCAAGCUUCAGUCUCUGAUCUCAGAUCUUUUCAAGUUUUUUCCUCGUAGAACAACUCAGCAGUAACACUGUGCUUGAACCCUUGUAAGGGAUAUAUAUAUAUAUAUAUAUAUAAGCAGGCUGUAGAACUCAAUCUCAGUUAUGAACUUUGACAAGUACUAUUAGAGAUCUCUUUACUGAUAUAAGAUAAGAUGGUAUUGUUCUGAUGCCUAUGAAGACUACAGACAGUAUAAAAGACACCAAAAUCGAAACCCUAUACCACAAGCUUUUGAUCAUUGCCCGGAAUUUUAUUCAUUCAGAUUGUUGAACAUAAAGUUGAGGGCUUGAGCCAGGUAUUUAUUAUUAAUUAUCAAUUCUAUUAAUAAGAUACUUUAACUAAAGAACAAUGUAUAAUAAAG